rnacentral:lncRNA from 1 species
AAAUGCGCUAACCUUUGGCCAUUGCCAUGCUUUAUAAUGGGCUUCAGAGGUCAUCUACACAAAGCAAGCACCUCCAAAACAUCAGUGGUAGGUUCGCGGAGGAAAAUAGAAACAGUCUGAAGUCCAUAGUCAACAAUACAAACCAUCUUCCAAGAUCGUACAAAGGAAGCCACUCCACUACAAGCUUUCUUUCCAUAGCUACGGAUGUGUGUAGAAGAGCCUGGAACAGGGGUCAAACAAGAUAAAUUAGCCAACCAUACAGUUCCAAGGUAGCAUCAGGAUUAGUAUUGAUAACUAAUCGGGUAAUCAUCCAAGAGCGCAAUGAACUAAGAGGAGAUUUACCAGAUUUGAGUGUCGGGGAGCGGAGAGGUGGAAGAGGGAGUUGGAGCCGAGCCGUGCCAGUCGGGAUCUUGAUCCAACUCCGGC